rnacentral:rRNA from 1 species
UACGUAGGGUGCGAGCGUUAAUCGGAAUUACUGGGCGUAAAGCGUGCGCAGGCGGUCUGUUAAGACCGAUGUGAAAUCCCCGGGCUUAACCUGGGAAUUGCAUUUGUGACUGCACGGCUAGAGUGUGUCAGAGGGGGGUAGAAUUCCACGUGUAGCAGUGAAAUGCGUAGAUAUGUGGAGGAAUACCGAUGGCGAAGGCAGCCCCCUGGGAUAACACUGACGCUCAUGCACGAAAGCGUGGGGAGCAAACAGG